AAACAAUGACAGCGUCACACGUACCGCUGUCCGCCCGGGUACUACGAGCACUAGCUUAAAACCCAAAGGACUUGGCGGUGCUUCAUACCCACCUAGAGGAGCCUGUUCUAGAACCGAUAAUCCCCGUUCAACCUCACCCUCUCUUGUCCCAUUCCGCCUAUAUACCACCGUCGUCAGCUUACCCUCUGAGGGUCUUAUAGUAAGCAAGACUGGCAUAACCCCAAACGUCAGGUCGAGGUGUAGCGCAUGAGAGGGGAAGAAAUGGGCUACAUUCUCUAUCACAGAGAACACGGACGGUACAAUGAAAUAAAUACCUUGAAGGAGGAUUUAGCAGUAAGUAUAAAGUAGAACAUUUU
rnacentral:rRNA from 1 species